rnacentral:rRNA from 1 species
GAUGAACGCUGACAGAAUGCUUAACACAUGCAAGUCUACUUGAUUCUACUUCGGUAGUUGAUGGUGGCGGACGGGUGAGUAACGCGUAAAGAAUCUGCCCUUUAGUUUGGGAUAACCUUUGGAAACGAAGGCCAAUACCGGAUAUUAUGGAGACGUCGCAUGGCGACUCCAUGAAAGCUAUAUGCGCUAGAGGAGGACUUUGCGUCCCAUUAGUUAGUUGGUGAGGUAAUGGCUCACCAAGACCGCGAUGGGUAGCCGGCCUGAGAGGGUGAUCGGCCACAAGGGAACUGAGACACGGUCCUUACUCCUACGGGAGGCAGCAGUGGGGAAUAUUGGACAAUGGGCCACAAGCCUGAUCCAGCAAUUCUGUGUGCACGAUGAAGGUCUUCGGGUUGUAAAGUGCUUUCAGUAGGGAAGAAAAAAAUGACGGUACCUACAGAAGAAGCGACGGCUAAAUAUGUGCCAGCCGCCGCCGUAA